CCGAUAAAGUUAAAAAUAAAAAUAAACUGAAAUCUACUGAGCGUUCGCGAGUUUGUGCUGUUUCCACGGCCUAGAGGAAUUACCAAGCGGGAUUGUUGCCUACUUCCAAUGCCGCACUGCUUGAAGGCCAUACGGAACCGAAACCAAGUCUGAGACCAUGAGCGGAAGCUGAAUGGAAAGCGUCGUCAAAUCAUCGUCCCACUGCUCGCAGUUUCUGGAAAAUCAGACCAAUUUCGAAUCGGAGGAUCAUCAAAACAGCUAUUUUCCUUCCGCUGAUCUCCUAUUCACAGAAAAAUAUCAAGGAAGAUGUCAACUUUUCUAGAAGUUAUCUGGUGGAAGCGGAAGUGGAUGCUACGAGUGUUUCCCAUGCAUGAAAUCAACUCGGAUGCGUUAGAUAAUCCGGAUGGCUGGGUUUUGGACCAAACAACUAAAGCUUGUGCGCAGCGUAUUUCGGAAAAAUGCUGUGACUAUGGAUCGCUCCUGUUACCUGAAUAAUUCCUGAUUUAUUAUAAAAGGCAUAGCUGAAUAAUUCUUCAUUUAUAAAAAAAUAAUAA
rnacentral:lncRNA from 1 species